CGGAGGGUGCAAGCGUUAUCCGGAUUUACUGGGUUUAAAGGGUGCGUAGGUGGAUAGGUAAGUCAGUGGUGAAAUCUUCAAGCUUAACUUGGAAACUGCCAUUGAUACUAUUUAUCUUGAAUACUUUGGAGGUAAGCGGAAUAUGUCAUGUAGCGGUGAAAUGCUUAGAUAUGACAUAGAACACCAAUUGCGAAGGCAGCUUACUACACAGUUAUUGACACUGAGGCACGAAAGCGUGGGGAUCAAACAGGAUU
rnacentral:rRNA from 1 species